GAUGAGCAGCGAACGGGUGAGUAACGCGUGGGGAAUCUGCCUUUGAGCGGGGGACAACAUUUGGAAACGAAUGCUAAUACCGCAUAAAAACUUUAAACACAAGUUUUAAGUUUGAAAGAUGCAAUUGCAUCACUCAAAGAUGAUCCCGCGUUGUAUUAGCUAGUUGGUGAGGUAAAGGCUCACCAAGGCGAUGAUACAUAGCCGACCUGAGAGGGUGAUCGGCCACAUUGGGACUGAGACACGGCCCAAACUCCUACGGGAGGCAGCAGUAGGGAAUCUUCGGCAAUGGACGAAAGUCUGACCGAGCAACGCCGCGUGAGUGAAGAAGGUUUUCGGAUCGUAAAACUCUGUUGGUAGAGAAGAACGUUGGUGAGAGUGGAAAGCUCAUCAAGUGACGGUAACUACCCAGAAAGGGACGGCUAACUACGUGCCAGCAGCCGCGGUAAUACGUAGGUCCCGAGCGUUGUCCGGAUUUAUUGGGCGUAAAGCGAGCGCAGGUGGUUUAUUAAGUCUGGUGUAAAAGGCAGUGGCUCAACCAUUGUAUGCAUUGGAAACUGGUAGACUUGAGUGCAGGAGAGGAGAGUGGAAUUCCAUGUGUAGCGGUGAAAUGCGUAGAUAUAUGGAGGAACACCGGUGGCGAAAGCGGCUCUCUGGCCUGUAACUGACACUGAGGCUCGAAAGCGUGGGGAGCAAACAGGAUUAGAUACCCUGGUAGUCCACGCCGUAAACGAUGAGUGCUAGAUGUAGGGAGCUAUAAGUUCUCUGUAUCGCAGCUAACGCAAUAAGCACUCCGCCUGGGGAGUACGACCGCAAGGUUGAAACUCAAAGGAAUUGACGGGGCCCGCACAAGCGUGGAGCAUGUGGUUUAAUUCGAAGCAACGCGAAGAACCUUACCAGGUCUGACAUACUCGUGCUAUUCCUAGAGAUAGGAAGUUCCUUCGGGACACCGGGAUACAGGUGGUGCAUGGUUGUCGUCAGCUCGUGUCGUGAGAUGUUGGGUUAAGUCCCGCAACGAGCGCAACCCCUAUUGUUAGUUGCCAUCAUUAAGUUGGGCACUCUAACGAGACUGCCGGUGAUAAACCGGAGGAAGGUGGGGAUGACGUCAAAUCAUCAUGCCCCUUAUGACCUGGGCUACACACGUGCUACAAUGGAUGGUACAACGAGUCGCGAGACAGUGAUGUUUAGCUAAUCUCUUAAAACCAUUCUCAGUUCGGAUUGUAGGCUGCAACUCGCCUACAUGAAGUCGGAAUCGCUAGUAAUCGCGGAUCAGCACGCCGCGGUGAAUACGUUCCCGGGCCUUGUACACACCGCCCGUCACACCACGGGAGUUGGGAGUACCCGAAGUAGGUUGCCUAA
rnacentral:rRNA from 1 species